AGAGUUUGAUCCUGGCUCAGGAUGAACGCUGGCGGCGUGCCUAAUACAUGCAAGUCGAGCGGCAACACGGACUUCGGUCUGGUGGCGAGCGGCGGACGGCUGAGUAACGCGUAGGAACGUACCCCAAACUGAGGGAUAAGCACCAGAAAUGGUGUCUAAUACCGCAUGUGCUCCACGGAGUAAAGCUUCGGCGGUUUGGG
rnacentral:rRNA from 1 species